rnacentral:lncRNA from 1 species
AGAGAGUGAGAGAAAGAACUCUGCAUUUUUUUCUUUGGCAGCAACAACCGAGAGAGAAAACAGAACAUCCGAAUAGCUUUCCCAUUUCUGCAUUCUUUAACCGACCAAAACUGAGAGCUAAAGUGAAGGAUAGGAAGAGAAACUUUGUUAGUUUCUUCACUGAUUAGCUUCAACCGAGAGGAAGAGUGAAAGCUGCUGCAAGUUUAAGAGAAACCGAAGCUAGGAGCAGGAGCAAUCCGCCGUUAUUAAAAUUUAACCGAGAAGGUAAGAAUCUUGUAACCACCUUUUAUUUCUUGAAUAUAACUGAAAAUAUGGGCUGCAUGUUAGUUUUUAGCAAGGAAUAAUAAGAUUUAACAGAGGGGAAUUCUGAUAAGAAGGAAGAAAAGAUGGGAGCUAGACUGAAGUUGUAGGAACGGAGUGUAAGUUGCAUGGGUUGCAGCCUGUGAUCAUUGUGAAAUGGAAACUAAUGACAGGAAAUGCAUGUAAUACGUUAGCCUUAUGUAUUAUGGGAAGUUUAGUUGAAGAAACUUGGGAAAAGAUGGAAUUUUGGGUUGAGACCGUAGGAAGAAACAUGCUGGAAUUUUUCCAGCUUCAUCCGAGAGGAAGAAACUGAAAUUUGCAGCUUAGUAACCGAAAGUAUGGAGUAACUUUCUGCUAGAAGCUCAAACCAUGUGUUAUGUCCUUGUCUUAUCUGAGUAACUAGUGCAGAGUUGUUAGCUUGAGUGAAAAAUUUGCAAGAAUUAACCGGUGGUUCUGUCUAGCUAGCCGGGAGAUGAAGUAAGGAAAUUUUCCAAUUUUCUUGACAGAUUUUUGGGUUCCAAAUUCCUACGUUGAAACUGAAUACCUUGCAUAAUUUUUUAGUUUUAGCAUGUAUGGUGGAGUUGAAUGGGAACUGAAGUAGUUAAUGGAGAAAUCUCUUGUUUAAAAACUGAUUGCUGUCCAAAACAAUCACAGCUUGACCGAGAGAGAGAAAUAGACUUCAGAUCAGUUUUUCCUUUGAAAUUCUGGCUGUAAAAUUUAAUAUGGAUGAUCAAGUUUACUCUGUAGUUGGAGAAUCAUCUUUUGCAUGAUGAGUUGGAGUUAAAACUGAAGAAAAUUAUGGAGAAAGCACCAUAUGUGAAAUUGCUAUACUGCUGGAAAUUGUAAUGUGUUGCUGGCCGAAUUAGUUGAGGCUUUUGGUGGGAUUCUUUUCCGGAAUUGUGUGUUAUUUGUUCUAGUUUGGGUGGGCAAAUUAUGAGCUACGUGUUUAGUGUUUCAAGCAAGUAAAAGAUGGAGAUUUGUUGAACAAUUUGAAUGAUAUUGCUGGAAAUUAUACUUGUUGGCCAAAACAGGGAAGAGAUGAACUUUGCUUGAAGUUUUUGAACAAAAUUCUAAGAUAGUUUGUUGUAACUGUACAUAUAUAUAUAUAUAUAUAUAUAUAUCCAUUUCUAGCAUCUUAACCUUGUUUUGAAUACUUUAAAGAAUUUAAAACUCGAAGGGCUAGUGAAGUGGAACAAAUAGGAAUAACAUGCAAACUAGAGUCUAGUUCAGUCUAAAAGGAAAGAAAUAAAAGUUCCAUCAGCUUUAAUUAUUAAGAUUAGAAUGAAAUGAUUUAAUUUUAGCUCAAAUGUUUUAUAAGAUCUUAAAAUUUAUAUAUGUACGUUAACCUUGUUUUAGAGCUACCAAACCUAAUGGAUUUUGAAGUAAUAUUGCUUAAUUGUGUUGAAUGGUUGAAAUGGUAAUGAGAUUAAGACUUAUAUAAUGUGUUAGAAACUCUAAGGUAAUUUGUUAUGGCUAUAUACACGAAAUGGCUCCUAAUCACUUAAAUUAGUUUUUAUAAUAUUUAAGAGACUAUAAAACUUGAGAAGUUAAGGUUGUGAAAUAAAAUUUAAUUCACAAACAACCUAGAGCUUAGUUAGUCUUAAAAGGGAAAAUGGAGUAUCUAUAAGCCAUAAUUAAUACUGGAUUGAGAAAGUAUAUUCGUUUAAACCUUAUACAAGUUUAUAAACUUGAAGAUAGGUAUUUCAUGGUUUAAAAUUAAUAAAGUCAAUAAGUUUUGAAAAUAAAAUGAUAAAUAAAUAUUGAGAAUGUUAUAGUUGUAUUUUAAGGUCAAACUUGAUUUUAAUAAGUUUAAAUAAAAGAAUAACAAAUGAUCGACUACAAAUUAUAUAUUUACUUUGAACUUAUUAACUUGUACUAGGAAGUAGCCGUGAACCAGGAAACCAACUCGAAACUCGAGAGUAGUCAUUUGAAUCCUUG